rnacentral:lncRNA from 1 species
AGAGGGAUGCAACACGAGGACUUCCCGGGAGGUCACCCAUUGUAGUACUACUCUCGCCCAAGCACGCUUAACUGCGGAGUUUUGAUGGGAUCCAGUAUAUUAGUGCUCGUAUGAUCGCAUCCGUUAGUAUAUGCAAUGCAAUCGUAUAUAUUCUUUUUUGAAGACUUGAUGAACCAUUCGUCAUGGGUCCCACCCGCUAUGUAGGGAUACGCCAUCUAGUCUUAACGAGCUUUGAUGCAUGAAAAAAUUCUAGAACAAUGCUUUAACAAGUAAUUUUGGGUCUGUAAUAUAACCCAAAUCACAAAAAUGCCCAAAAAAGUACUUAAAGGUCAAAAUUUGGGGUUGACAAAAAGUCAAUAAAAUAGUUCCAUUGUCCUGCUUCUUUCGUUGGAAGGCUCUCUUUGGGCUUUCUGAAAGGUAGCACAUGCCAAGUUUGACCUCACGGUAUAAAAGUUAUAGAGUCAUAAAGUUUUAACCAAAAAAAAAAUAAAUUAAAAAAAAGAGGGAUGCAACACGAGGACUUCCCGGGAGGUCACCCAUCCUAGAACAACUCUCCCCCAAGCACGCUUAACUAAAGGUCAAAAUUUGGAGUCGACAAAAAACAAUGGAUAUGUUCCAUUGUCCUGCUUCUUUCAUUUGAGGGCUCUCUUUGGGCUUUACGAAAAGGUAUCAAAUGCCAAGUUUGGCCUCACUGUAUAAAAGUUAUAGAGUCAUACAGUUUUAAUCAAAGAAAAAAAUUUAAAAAAAAAAAAGAAUGAAACACGAGGACUUCCCGGGAGGUCACCCAUACUAGUACUACUCUCACCCAAGCACGCUUAACUGCGGUGUUCUGAUGGGAUCCGGUGUAUUAGUGCUUUUAUGAUCGCAUCCGUUAGUAUAUGCAAUGCAAUCGUAUAUAUUCUUUUUUAAAGACUUGAUGAACCAUUCGCCAUGGGUUCCACCCGCUAUGUAGGGAUACCCCAUCUAUUUUUAACGAGCUUUGAUGCAUGAAAAAAUUCUAAAACAAUGCUUGAACAAGUAAUUUUGGGUCCGUAAUAUAGCCCAAAUCACAAAAAUGCUCGAAAGAGUACUUAAAGGUCAAAAUUUGGGAUCGACAAAAAGUCAAUGGAAAAGUUCCUUUGUCCUGCUUCUUUCGUCGGAGGGCUCUCUUUGGGCUUUACGAAAAGGUAUCACAUGCCAAGUUUGGCCUCACGGUAUAAAAGUUAUAGAAUCAUAAAGUUUUAACCAAAAAAAACAAAUUAAAAAAAAAAGGGAUGCAACACGAGGACUUCCCGGGAGGUCACCCGUCCUAGUACUACUCUCCCCCAAGCACGCUUAACUAAAGGUCAAAAUUUGGAGUUGACAAAAAAUCAAUGGAUAUGUUCCAUUGUCCUGCUUCUUUCAUCGGAUGGCUCUCUUUGGGCUUUUCGAAAAGGUAUCACAUGCCAAGUUUGGCCUCACUGUAUAAAAGUUAUAGAGUCAUAAAGUUUUAAUCAAAGAAAAAAAAAUUUAAAAAAAGAGGGAUGCAACACGAGGACUUCCCAGGAGGUCACCCAUCGUAGUACUACUCUCGCCCACGCACGCUUAACUGCGGAGUUCUGAUGGGAUACGGUGUAUUAGUGCUGGUAUGAUCGCAUCUGUUAGUAUAUGCAAUGCAAUUGUAUAUAUUGUUUUUUGAAGACUUGAUGAACCAUUCGCCGUGGGUCCCACCCGCUAUGUAGGGAUACCCCAUCUAGUCUUAACGAGCUUUGAUGCGUCAAAAAAAUCUAAAACAAUGCUUGAACAAGUAAUUUUGGGUCCGUACUAUAGCCCAAAUCACAAUAAUGCCCGAAAAAGUACUUAAAUGUCAAAAUUUGGGAUCGACAAAAAGUCAAUGGAAAGGUUCCAUUGUCCUGCUUCUUUCGUCGGAGGGCUCUCUUUGGGCUUUCCAAAAAGGUAUCACAUGCUAAGGUUGGCCUCACGGUAUAAAAGUUAUAGAGUCAUAAAGUUUUACCAAAAAAAAAACAAAUUAAAAAAAAGAGGGAUGCAACACGAGGACUUCCCGGGAGGUCACCCAUCCUGGAACAACUCUCGCUCAAGCACGCUUAACUAAAGGUCAAAAUUUGGAGUCGACAAAAAAUCAAUGGAUAUGUUCCAUUGUCCGACUUCUUUCAUCAGAGGACUCACUUUGGGCUUUACGAAAAGGUAUCACAUGCCAAGUUUGGCCUCACUGUAUAAAUGUUAUAGAGUCAUAAAGUUUUAAUCAAAAAAAACAAUUAAAAAAAAAGAGGGAUGAAACAUGAGGACUUCCCGCGAGGUCACCCAUCCUAGUACUACUCUCACCCAAGCACGCUUAACUGCGGUGUUCUGAUGGGAUUCGGUGUAUUAGUGCUUGUAUGAUCGUAUCCGUUAGUAUAUGCAAUGCAAUCGUAUAUAUUCUUUUUUGAAGACUUGAUGAACCAUUCGCCAUGGGUUCCACCCGCUAUGUAGGGAUACCCCAUCUAUUCUUAACGAGCUUUGAUGCAUGAAAAAAUUCUAAAACAAUGCUUGAACAAGUAAUUUUGGGUCCGUAAUAUAGCCCAAAUCACAAAAAUGCUCGAAAGAGUACUUAAAGGUCAAAAUUUGGGGUCGACAAAAAGUCAAUGGAAAAGUUUCUUUAUCCUGCUUCUUUCGUCGGAGGGUUCUCUUUGGGCUUUACGAAAAAGUAUCACAUGCCAAGUUUGGCCUCACGGUAUAAAAGUUAUAGAGUCAUAAAGUUUUAACCAAAAAAAACAAAUUAAAAAAAAAGAGGGAUGCAACACGAGGACUUCCCGGGAGGUAACCCAUCCUAGUACUACUCUCUCCCAAGCACGCGUAACUAAAGGUCAAAAUUUAGAGUUGACAAAAUAUCAAUGGAUAUGUUCCAUUGUCCUGCUUCUUUCAUCGGAUGGCUCUCUUUGGGCUUUUCGAAAAGGUAUCAUAUGCCAAGUUUGGCCUCACUGUAUAAAAGUUAUAGAGUCAUAAAGUUUUAACCAAAGAAAAAAAUUAAAAAAAAAGAGGGAUGCAACACGAGGACUUUCCAGGAGGUCACCCAUCGUAGUACUACUCUCGCCCAAGCACGCUUAACUGCGGAGUUCUGAUGGGAUCCGGUGUAUUAGUGCUGGUAUGAUCGCAUCCGUUAGUAUAUGCAAUGCAAUCGUAUAUAUUCUUUUUUGAAGACUUGAUGAACCAUUCGCCGUGGGUCCCACACGCUAUGUAGGGAUACCCCAUCUAGUCUUAACGAGCUUUGAUGCGUGAAAAAAUUCUAAAACAAUGCUUGAACAAGUAAUUUUGGGUCCGUAAUAUAGCCCAAAUCACAAAAAUGCCCAAAAAAGUACUUAAAGGUCAAAAUUUGGGGUCGACAAAAAGUCAAUGGAAUUGUUCCAUUGUCCUGCUUCUUUCGUUAGAGGGCUCUAUUUGGGCUUUCCAAAAAGGUAUCACAUGCUAAGGUUUGCCUCACGGUAUGAAAGUUAUAGUCAUAAAGUUUUAACCAAAAAAAAACAAAUUAAAAAAAAGAGGGAUGCAACACGAGGACUUCCCGGGAGGUCACCCAUCCUAGAACAACUCUCCCCCAAACACGCUUAACUAAAGGUCAAAAUUUGGAGUCGACAAAAAAUCAAUGGAUAUGUUCCAUUGUCCUGCUUCUUUCAUUUGAGGGCUCUCUUUGGGCUUUACGAAAAGGUAUCAAAUGCCAAGUUUGGCCUCACUGUAUAAAAGUUAUAGAGUCAUAAAUUUUAAUCAAAGAAAAAAAUUAAAAAAAAAAAGAGGGAUGAAACACGAGGACUUCCCGGGAGGUCAACCAUCCUAGUACUACUCUCACCCAAGCACGCUUAACUGCGGUGUUCUGAUGGGAUCCGGUGUAUUAGUGCUUGUAUGAUCGCAUCCGUUAGUAUAUGCAAUGCAAUCGUAUAUAUUCUUUUUUGAAGACUUGAUGAACCAUUCGCCAUGGGUUCCAUCCGCUAUGUAGGGAUACCCCAUCUAUUCUUAACGAGAUUUGAUGCAUGAAAAAAUUCUAAAACAAUGCUUAAACAAGUAAUUUUAGGUCCGUAAUAUUGCCCAAAUCACAAAAAUGCUCGAAAGAGUACUUAAAGGUCAAAAUUUGGGGUCGACAAAAAGUCAAUGGAAAAGUUCCUUUGUCCUGCUUCUUUCGUCGGAGGGCUCUCUUUGGGCUUUACGAAAAGGUAUCACAUGCCAAGUUUUGCCUCACAGUAUAAAAGUUAUUGAGUCAUAAAGUUUUAACCAAAAAAAACAAAUUAAAAAAAAGAGGGAUGCAACACGAGGACUUCCCGGGAGGUCAUCAUCCCAGUACUACUCUCCCCCAAGCACGCUUAACUAAAGGUCAAAAUUUGGAGUUGACAAAAAAUCAAUGGAUAUGUUCCAUUGUCCUGCUUCUUUCAUCGGAGGGCUCUCUUUGGGCUUUUCGAAAAGGUAUCACAUGUCAAGUUUGGCCUCACUAUAUAAAAGUUCUAGAGUCAUAAAGUUUUAACCAAAGAAAAAAAUUAAAAAAAAAGAGGGAUGCAACACGAGGACUUCCCAGGAGGUCACCCAUCGUAGUUCUACUCUCGUCCAAGCACGCUUAACUGCGGAGUUCUGAUGGGAUCCGGUGUAUUAGUGCUUGUAUGAUCGCAUCCGUUAGUAUAUGCAAUGCAAUCGUAUAUAUUCUUUUUUGAAGACUUGAUGAACCAUUCGCCAUGGGUUCCACCCGCUAUGUAGGGAUACCACAUCUAUUCUUAACGAGCUUUGAUGCAUGAAAAAAAUCUAAAACAAUGCUUGAACGUGUAAUUUUGGGUCCGUAAUAUAGCCCAAAUCACAAAAAUGCUCGAAAGAGUACUUAAAGGUCAAAACUUAGGGUCGACAAAAAGUCAAUGGAAAAGUUCCUUUGUCCUGCUUCUUUCGUCGGAGGGCUCUAUUUGGGCUUUCCAAAAAGGUAUCACAUGCUAAGGUUGGCCUCACGGUAUAAAAGUUAUAGAGUCAUAAAGUUUUAACCAAAAAAAGACAAAUUAAAAAAAAGAGGGAUGCAACACGAGAAUUUCCCGGGAGGUCACCCAUCCUAGAACAACUCUCGCCCAAGCGCGGUUAACUAAAGGUCAAAAUUUGGAGUCGACAAAAAAUCAAUGGAUAUGUUCCAUUGUCCUGCUUCUUUCAUUUGAGGGCUCUCUUUGGGCUUUACGAAAAGGUAUCACAUGUCAAGUUUGGCCUCACUAUAUAAAAGUUAUAGAGUCAUAAAGUUUUAAUCAAAGAAAAAAAUAAAAAAAAAAUAGAGGGAUGAAACACGAGGACUUCCUGUGAGGUCACCCAUCCUAGAACUACUCUCACCCAAGCACGCUUAACUGCGAUGUCCUGAUGGGAUCCGGUGUAUUAGUGCUUGUAUGAUCGCAUCCGUUAGUAUAUGCAAUGCAAUCGUAUACCUUUUUUUUUGAAGACUUGAUAAACCAUUCGCCAUGGGUUCCACCCGCUAUGUAGGGAUACCCCAUCUAUUCUUAACGAGCUUUGAUGCAUGAAAAAAUUCUAAAACAAUGCUUGAACAAGUAAUUUUGGGUCCGUAAUAUAGCCCAAAUCACAAAAAUGCCCGAAAAAGUGCUUAAAGGUCAAAAUUUGGGGUCGACAAAAAGUCAAUGGAAAUGUUCCAUUGUUCUGCUUCUUUCGUCGGAGGGCUAUCUUUGGGCUUUCCAAAAAGGUAUCACAUCCCAAGUUUGGCCUCACGGUUUAAAAGUUAUAGAGUCAUAAAGUUUUAACAAAAAAAAACAAAUUAAAAAAAAAGAGGGAUGCAACACGAGGACUUCCCGGGAGGUCACCCAUCCUAGAACAACUCUCGCCCAAGCGCGGUUAACUAAAGGUCAAAAUUUGGAGUCGACAAAAAAUCAAUGGAUAUGUUCCAUUGUCCUGCUUCUUUCAUUUGAGGGCUCUCUUUGGGCUUUACGAAAAGGUAUCACAUGUCAAGUUUGGCCUCACUGUAUAAAAGUUAUAGAGACAUAAAGUUUUAAUCAAAGAAAAAAAUAAAAAAAAAAUAGAGGGAUGAAACACGAGGACUUCCUGUGAGGUCACCCAUCCUAGAACUACUCUCACCCAAGCACGCUUAACUGCGAUGUCCUGAUGGGAUCCGGUGUAUUAGUGCUUGUAUGAUCGCAUCCGUUAGUAUAUGCAAUGCAAUCGUAUACCUUUUUUUUUGAAGACUUGAUAAACCAUUCGCCAUGGGUUCCACCCGCUAUGUAGGGAUACCCCAUCUAUUGUUAACGAGCUUUGAUGCAUGAAAAAAUUCUAAAACAAUGCUUGAACAAGUAAUUUUGGGUCCGUAAUAUAGCCCAAAUCACAAAAAUGCCCGAAAAAGUGCUUAAAGGUCAAAAUUUGGGGUCGACAAAAAGUCAAUGGAAAUGUUCCAUUGUUCUGCUUCUUUCGUCGGAGGGCUAUCUUUGGGCUUUCCAAAAAGGUAUCACAUCCCAAGUUUGGCCUCACGGUUUAAAAGUUAUAGAGUCAUAAAGUUUUAACAAAAAAAAACAAAUUAAAAAAAAAGAGGGAUGCAACACGAGGACUUCCCGGGAGGUCACCCAUCCUAGAACAACUCUCGCCCAAGCGCGGUUAACUAAAGGUCAAAAUUUGGAGUCGACAAAAAAUCAAUGGAUAUGUUCCAUUGUCCUGCUUCUUUCAUUUGAGGGCUCUCUUUGGGCUUUACGAAAAGGUAUCACAUGUCAAGUUUGGCCUCACUGUAUAAAAGUUAUAGAGACAUAAAGUUUUAAUCAAAGAAAAAAAUAAAAAAAAAAUAGAGGGAUGAAACACGAGGACUUCCUGUGAGGUCACCCAUCCUAGAACUACUCUCACCCAAGCACGCUUAACUGCGAUGUCCUGAUGGGAUCCGGUGUAUUAGUGCUUGUAUGAUCGCAUCCGUUAGUAUAUGCAAUGCAAUCGUAUACCUUUUUUUUUGAAGACUUGAUAAACCAUUCGCCAUGGGUUCCACCCGCUAUGUAGGGAUACCCCAUCUAUUGUUAACGAGCUUUGAUGCAUGAAAAAAUUCUAAAACAAUGCUUGAACAAGUAAUUUUGGGUCCGUAAUAUAGCCCAAAUCACAAAAAUGCCCGAAAAAGUGCUUAAAGGUCAAAAUUUGGGGUCGACAAAAAGUCAAUGGAAAUGUUCCAUUGUCCUGCUUCUUUCGUCGGAGGGCUAUCUUUGGGCUUUCCAAAAAGGUAUCACAUCCCAAGUUUGGCCUCACGGUUUAAAAGUUAUAGAGUUAUAAAGUUUUAACCAAAAAAAAACAAAUUAAAAAAAAAGGAUGCAACACGAGGACUUCCCGGGAGGUCACCCAUCCUAGAACAACUCUCGCCCAAGCACGCUUAACUAAAGGUCAAAAUUUGGAGUCGACAAAAAAUCAAUGGAUAAGUUCCAUUGUCCUGCUUCUUUCAUCGGAGGGCUCUCUUUGGGCUUUCCGAAAAGGUAUCACAUGCCAAGUUUGGCCUCACUCUAUAAGAGUUAUAGAGUCAUAAACUUUUAACCAAAGAAAAAAAAGGGAUGAAACACGAGGACUUCCCGGGAAGUCACCCAUCCUAGUAUUACUCUCACCCAAGCACGGUUAAUUGCGGAGUUCUGAUGGGAUCCGGUGUAUUAGUGCUGGUAUGAUCGCAUCCGUUAGUAUAUGCAAUGCAAUCGUAUAUAUUCUUUUUUGAAAACUUGAUGAACCGUUCACCAUAGGUUCCACCCGCUGUGUAGGGAUACCUCAUCUAGUCUUAACGAGCUUUGAUGCAUGGAAAAAUUCUAAAACAAUGCUUGAACAAGUAAUUUUGGGUCCGUAAUAUAGCCCAAAUCACAAAAAUACCCGAAGAAGUACUUAAAGGUCAAAAUUUGGGGUCGACAAAAAGUCAAUGGAAAAGUUCCUUUGUCCUGCUUCUUUCGUCGGAGGGCUCUCUUUGGGCUUUCCGAAAAGGUAUCACAUGCCAAGUUUGGCCUCACGGUAUAAAAGUUAUAGAGUCAUAAAGUUUUAACCAAAAAAAACAAAUUAAAAAAAAAGAGGGAUGCAACACGAGGACUUCCCGGGAGGUCUCCCAUCCUAAUACUACUCUCGCCCAAGCCCGCUUAACUGCGGAGUUCUGAUGGGAUCCGGUGUAUUAGUGCUGGUAUGAUCGCAUCCGUUAGUAUAUGCAAUGCAAUCUUAUAUAUUCUUUUUUGAAGACUUGAUGAACCAUUCUUCGUGGGUCCCACCCGCUGUGUAGGGAUACCCCAUCUAGUCUUAACGAGCUUUGCUGCAUUGAAAAAAUUCUAAAACAAUGCUUGAACAAGUAAUCUUGGGUCCGUAAUAUAUCCCAAAUCACAAAAAUACCCGAAAAAGUACUUAAAGGUCAAAAUUUGGGGUCGACAAAAAGUCAAUGGAAAAGUUCCUUUGUCCUGCUUCUUUCGUCGGAGGGCUCUCUUUGGGCUUUCCGAAAAGGUAUCACAUGUCAAGUUUGGCCUCACGGUAUAAAAGUUAUAGAGUCAUAAAGUUUUAACCAAAAAAAACAAAUUAAAAACAAAGAGGGAUACAACACGAGGACUUCUCGGGAGGUCACCCAUCCUAGUACUACUCUCGCCCAAGCACGCUUAACUAAAGGUCAAAAUUUGGAGUCGACAAAAAGUCAAUGGAUAUGUUCCAUUGUCCUGCUACUUUCAUCGUAGGGCUCUCUUUGAGCUUUUCGAAAAGGUAUCACAUGCCAAGUUUGGCCUGACGGUAUAAAAGUUAUAGAGUCAUAAAGUUUUAACCAAUAAAAAAAAUUAAAAAAAAAGAGUGAUGCAACACAAAGACUUCCCGGGAGGUCACCCAUCCUAGUACUACUCUCGCCCAAGCCCGCUUAACUGCGGAGUUCUGAUGGGAUCCGGUGUAUUAGUGCUGCUAUGAUCUUAUCUGUUAGUAUAUGCAAUGCAAUCGUAUAUAUUCUUUUUGGAAGAAUUGAUGAACCAUUCGCCGUGGGUCCCACCCGCUGUGUAGGGAUACCCCAUCUAGUCUUAACGAGCUUUGAUGCAUGAUAAAAUUCUAAAACAAUGCUUGAACAAGUAAUUUUGGAUCCGUAAUAUAGCCCAAAUCACAAAAAUACCCGAAAAAGUACUUAAAGGUCAAAAUUUGGGGUCGACAAAAAGUCAAUGAAAAAGUUCCUUUGUCCUGCUUCUUUCGUCGGAGGGCUCUCUUUGGGCUAUUCGAAAAGGUAUCACAUGCCAAGUUUGGCCUCACGGUAUAAAAGUUAUAGAGUCCUAAAGUUUUAACCAAAAAAAACAAAUUAAAAAAAAAGAGGGAUGCAACACGAGGACUUCCCGGGAGGUCACCCAUCCUAGUACUACUCUCGCCCAAGCACGCUUAACUAAAUGUCAAAAUUUGGAGUCGACAAAAAAUCAAUUGAUAUGUUCCAUUGUCCUGCUACUUUCAUCGGAGGGCUCUCUUUGGGCUUUCCGAAAAUGUAUCACAUGCCAAGUUUGGCCUCACUGUAUAAAAGUUAUACAGUCAUAAAGUUUUAACCAAAGAAAAAUAUUUAAAAAAAACGGAUGCAACACGAGGACUUCCCUGAGGUCACCAAUCCUAGUACUACUCUCGCCCAAGCACGCUUAACUACGGAGUUUUGAUGGGAUCUGGUGUAUUAGUGCUGGUAUAAUCUCAUCCGUUAGUAUAGGCAAUGCAAUGGUGUAUAUUCUUUUUUGAAGACUUGAUGAACCAUUCGUCGUGGGUCCCACCCGCUGUGUAGGGAUACCCCAUCUAGUCUUAACGAGCUUUGAUCAUGAAAAAAAUUCUAAAACAAUGCUUGAACAAGUAAUUUUGGGUCCGUAAUAUAGCCCAAAUCCCAAAAUACCCGAAAAAGUACUUAAAGGUCAAAAUUUGGGAUCGACAAAAAGUCAAUGGAAAAGUUCGUUUGUCCUGCUUCUUUCGUCGGAGGGCUCUCUUUGGGCUUUCCGAAAAGGUAUCACAUGCCAAGUUUGGCCUCACGGUAUAAAAGUUAUAGAAUCAUAAAGUUUUAACCAAAAAAAACAAAUUAAAAAAAAAGAGGGAUGCAACACGAGGACUUCCCGGGAGGUCACCCAUCCUAGUACUACUCUCGCCCAAGCACGCUUAACUAAAGGUUAAAAUUUGGAGUCGACAAAAAAUCAAUGGAUAUGUUCCAUUGUCCUGCUUCUUUCAUCGGAGAGCUCUCUUUGGGCUUUCCGAAAAGGUAUCACAUGCCAAGUUUGGCCUCACUGUAUAAAAGUUAUAGAGUCAUAAAGUUUUAACCAAUGAAAAAAAUUAAAAAAAAAGAGGGAUGCAACACGAGGACUUCCCGGGAGGUCACCCAUCCUAGUACUACUCUCGCCCAAGCCCCCUUAACUGCGGAGUUCUGAUGGGAUCCGGUGUAUUAGUGUUGGUAUGAUCUUAUCUGUUAGUAUAUGCAAUGCAAUCGUAUAUAUUCUUUUUGGAAGAAUUGAUGAACCAUUCGCCGUGGGUCCCACCCGCUGUGUAGGGAUACCCCAACUAGUCUUAACGAGCUUUGAUGCAUGAAAAAAUUCUAAAACAAUGCUUGAACAAGUUAUUUUGGGUCCGUAAUCUAGCCCAAAUCACAAAAAUGCCCGAAAAAGUACUUAAAGGUCAAAAUUUGUGGUCGGCAAAAAGUCAAAGGAAAAGUUCGUUUGUCCUGUUUCUUUCGUCGGAGGGUUCUCUUUGGGAUUUCCGAAAAGGUAUCACAUGCCUAGUUUGGCCUCACGGUAUAAAAGUUAUAGAGUCAUAAAGUUUUAACCAAAAAAAACAAAUUAAAAAAAAAGAGGGAUGCAACACGAGGACUUCCCGGGAGGUCACCCAUCCUAGUACAAUAUUCGCCCAAGCACGCUUAACUGCGGAGUUCUGAUGGGAUCUCGUGUAUUAGUGCUGGUAUGAUCGCAUACGUUAGUAUAUGCAAUGCAAUCGUAUAUAUUCUUUUUUGAAGACUUGAUGAACCAUUCGUCGUGGGUCGCACCCGCUAUGUAGGAUACCCCAUCUAGUCUUAACGAGCUUUGAAGCAUGAAAAAAUUCUAAAACAAUGAUUGAACAAGUAAUUUUGUGUCCGUAAUAUAGCCCAAAUCACAAAUAUGCCCGAAAAAGUACUUAAAGGUCAAAAUUUGGGAUCGACAAAAAGUCAAUAAAAUUGUUCCAUUGUCCUGCUUCUUUCGUCGGAGGGCUCUCUUUACGCUUUCCGAAAAGAUAUCACAUGCCAAGUUUGGCCUCACGGUAUAAAAAUUAUAGAGUCAUAAAGUUUUAACCAAAAAAAACAAUUUAAAAAAAAAGAAGGAUGAAACACGAGGGCUUCCCGGGAGGUCACCCAUCCUAGUACUACUCUCGCCCAAGCACGCUUAACUAAAGGUCAAAAUUUAGAGUCGACAAAAAAUCAAUGGAUAUGUUCCAUUGUCCUGCUUCUUUCAUCAGAGGGCUCUCUUUGGGCUUUCCGAAAAGGUAUCACAUGCCAAGUUUGGCCUCACUGUUUAAAAGUUGUAGAGUCAUAAAGUUUUAACCAAUGAAAAAAAUUUUUAAAAAAAGAGGGAUGCAACACGAGGACUUCCCAGGAGGUCACCCAUCCUAAUACUACUCUCGCUCAAGCACACUUAACUGCGGAGUUCUGAUGGGAUCCGGUGUAUUAGUGCUGGUAUGAUCUCAUCUGUUAGUAUAUGCAAUGCAAUCGUAUAUAUUCUUUUUGAAAGAAUUGAUGAACCUUCGCCGUGGGUCCCACCCGCUGUAUAGGGACACCCCAUCUAGUCUUAACGAGCUUUGAUGCAUAAAAAAAUUCUAAAACAAUGCUUUAACAAGUAAUUUUGGGUCCGUAAUAUAGCCCAAAUCACAAAAAUGCGCGAAAAAGUAUUUAAAGGUCAAAAUUUGGGUUCGACAAAAAGUCAAUGGAAAAGUUCGUUUGUCGUGCUUCUUUCGUCGGAAGGCUCUCUUUGGGAUUUCCGAAAAGGUAGCACAUGCCUAGUUUGGCCUCACGGUAUAAAAGUUAUAGAGUUAUAAAGUUUUAACCAAAAAAAACAAAUUAAAAAAAAAGAGGGAUGCAACACGAGGACUUCCCGGGAGGUCUCCCAUCCUAAUACUACUCUCGCCCAAGCCCGCUUAACUGCGGAGUUCUGAUGGGAUCCGGUGUUUUAGUGCUGGUAUGAUCGCAUCCGUUAGUAUAUGCAAUGCAAUCUUAUAUAUUCUUUUUUGAAGACUUGAUGAACCAUUCUUCGUGGGUCCCACCCGCUGUGUAGGGAUACCCCAUCUAGUCUUAACGAGCUUUGCUGCAUUGAAAAAAUUCUAAAACAAUGCUUGAACAAGUAAUCUUUGGUCCGUAAUAUAUCCCAAAUCACAAAAAUACCCGAAAAAGUACUUAAAGGUCAAAAUUUGGGGUCGACAAAAAGUCAAUGGAAAAGUUCCUUUGUCCUGCUUCUUUCGUCGGAGGGCUCUCUUUGGGCUUUCCGAAAAGGUAUCACAUGUCAAGUUUGGCCUCACGGUAUAAAAGUUAUAGAGUCAUAAAGUUUUAACCAAAAAAAACAAAUUAAAAACAAAGAGGGAUACAACACGAGGACUUCUCGGGAGGUCACCCAUCCUAGUACUACUCUCGCCCAAGCACGCUUAACUAAAGGUCAAAAUUUGGAGUCGACAAAAAGUCAAUGGAUAUGUUCCAUUGUCCUGCUACUUUCAUCGUAGGGCUCUCUUUGAGCUUUUCGAAAAGGUAUCACAUGCCAAGUUUGGCCUGACGGUAUAAAAGUUAUAGAGUCAUAAAGUUUUAACCAAUAAAAAAAAUUAAAAAAAAAGUGUGAUGCAACACGAAGACUUCCCGGGAGGUCACCCAUCCUAGUACUACUCUCGCCCAAGCCCGCUUAACUGCGGAGUUCUGAUGGGAUCCGGUGUAUUAGUGCUGCUAUGAUCUUAUCUGUUAGUAUAUGCAAUGCAAUCGUAUAUAUUCUUUUUGGAAGAAUUGAUGAACCAUUCGCCGUGGGUCCCACCCGCUGUGUAGGGAUACCCCAUCUAGUCUUAACGAGCUUUGAUGCAUGAUAAAAUUCUAAAACAAUGCUUGAACAAGUAAUUUUGGAUCCGUAAUAUAGCCCAAAUCACAAAAAUACCCGAAAAAGUACUUAAAGGUCAAAAUUUGGGGUCGACAAAAAGUCAAUGAAAAAGUUCCUUUGUCCUGCUUCUUUCGUCGGAGGGCUCUCUUUGGGCUAUUCGAAAAGGUAUCACAUGCCAAGUUUGGCCUCACGGUAUAAAAGUUAUAGAGUCCUAAAGUUUUAACCAAAAAAAACAAAUUAAAAAAAAAGAGGGAUGCAACACGAGGACUUCCCGGGAGGUCACCCAUCCUAGUACUACUCUCGCCCAAGCACGCUUAACUAAAUGUCAAAAUUUGGAGUCGACAAAAAAUCAAUUGAUAUGUUCCAUUGUCCUGCUACUUUCAUCGGAGGGCUCUCUUUGGGCUUUCCGAAAAUGUAUCACAUGCCAAGUUUGGCCUCACUGUAUAAAAGUUAUACAGUCAUAAAGUUUUAACCAAAGAAAAAUAUUAAAAAAAAAGGGAUGCAACACGAGGACUUCCCUGAGGUCACCAAUCCUAGUACUACUCUCGCCCAAGCACGCUUAACUACGGAGUUUUGAUGGGAUCUGGUGUAUUAGUGCUGGUAUAAUCUCAUCCGUUAGUAUAGGCAAUGCAAUGGUGUAUAUUCUUUUUUGAAGACUUGAUGAACCAUUCGUCGUGGGUCCCACCCGCUGUGUAGGGAUACCCCAUCUAGUCUUAACGAGCUUUGAUCAUGAAAAAAAUUCUAAAACAAUGCUUGAACAAGUAAUUUUGGGUCCGUAAUAUAGCCCAAAUCACAAAAUACCCGAAAAAGUACUUAAAGGUCAAAAUUUGGGAUCGACAAAAAGUCAAUGGAAAAGUUCGUUUGUCCUGCUUCUUUCGUCGGAGGGCUCUUUUUGGGCUUUCCGAAAAGGUAUCACAUGCCAAGUUUGGCCUCACGGUAUAAAAGUUAUAGAAUCAUAAAGUUUUAACCAAAAAAAACAAAUUAAAAAAAAAGAGGGAUGCAACACGAGGACUUCCCGGGAGGUCACCCAUCCUAGUACUACUCUCGCCCAAGCACGCUUAACUAAAGGUUAAAAUUUGGAGUCGACAAAAAAUCAAUGGAUAUGUUCCAUUGUCCUGCUUCUUUCAUCGGAGAGCUCUCUUUGGGCUUUCCGAAAAGGUAUCACAUGCCAAGUUUGGCCUCACUGUAUAAAAGUUAUAGAGUCAUAAAGUUUUAACCAAUGAAAAAAAUUAAAAAAAAAGAGGGAUGCAACACGAGGACUUCCCGGGAGGUCACCCAUCCUAGUACUACUCUCGCCCAAGCCCCCUUAACUGCGGAGUUCUGAUGGGAUCCGGUGUAUUAGUGUUGGUAUGAUCUUAUCUGUUAGUAUAUGCAAUGCAAUCGUAUAUAUUCUUUUUGGAAGAAUUGAUGAACCAUUCGCCGUGGGUCCCACCCGCUGUGUAGGGAUACCCCAACUAGUCUUAACGAGCUUUGAUGCAUGAAAAAAUUCUAAAACAAUGCUUGAACAAGUUAUUUUGGGUCCGUAAUCUAGCCCAAAUCACAAAAAUGCCCGAAAAAGUACUUAAAGGUCAAAAUUUGUGGUCGGCAAAAAGUCAAAGGAAAAGUUCGUUUGUCCUGUUUCUUUCGUCGGAGGGUUCUCUUUGGGAUUUCCGAAAAGGUAUCACAUGCCUAGUUUGGCCUCACGGUAUAAAAGUUAUAGAGUCAUAAAGUUUUAACCAAAAAAAACAAAUUAAAAAAAAAGAGGGAUGCAACACGAGGACUUCCCGGGAGGUCACCCAUCCUAGUACAAUAUUCGCCCAAGCACGCUUAACUGCGGAGUUCUGAUGGGAUCUCGUGUAUUAGUGCUGGUAUGAUCGCAUACGUUAGUAUAUGCAAUGCAAUCGUAUAUAUUCUUUUUUGAAGACUUGAUGAACCAUUCGUCGUGGGUCGCACCCGCUAUGUAGGAUACCCCAUCUAGUCUUAACGAGCUUUGAAGCAUGAAAAAAUUCUAAAACAAUGAUUGAACAAGUAAUUUUGUGUCCGUAAUAUAGCCCAAAUCACAAAUAUGCCCGAAAAAGUACUUAAAGGUCAAAAUUUGGGAUCGACAAAAAGUCAAUAAAAUUGUUCCAUUGUCCUGCUUCUUUCGUCGGAGGGCUCUCUUUACGCUUUCCGAAAAGAUAUCACAUGCCAAGUUUGGCCUCACGGUAUAAAAAUUAUAGAGUCAUAAAGUUUUAACCAAAAAAAACAAUUUAAAAAAAAAGAAGGAUGAAACACGAGGACUUCCCGGGAGGUCACCCAUCCUAGUACUACUCUCGCCCAAGCACGCUUAACUAAAGGUCAAAAUUUAGAGUCGACAAAAAAUCAAUGGAUAUGUUCCAUUGUCCUGCUUCUUUCAUCAGAGGGCUCUCUUUGGGCUUUCCGAAAAGGUAUCACAUGCCAAGUUUGGCCUCACUGUUUAAAAGUUGUAGAGUCAUAAAGUUUUAACCAAUGAAAAAAAUUUUUAAAAAAAGAGGGAUGCAACACGAGGACUUCCCAGGAGGUCACCCAUCCUAAUACUACUCUCGCUCAAGCACACUUAACUGCGGAGUUCUGAUGGGAUCCGGUGUAUUAGUGCUGGUAUGAUCUCAUCUGUUAGUAUAUGCAAUGCAAUCGUAUAUAUUCUUUUUGAAAGAAUUGAUGAACCUUCGCCGUGGGUCCCACCCGCUGUAUAGGGACACCCCAUCUAGUCUUAACGAGCUUUGAUGCAUAAAAAAAUUCUAAAACAAUGCUUUAACAAGUAAUUUUGGGUCCGUAAUAUAGCCCAAAUCACAAAAAUGCGCGAAAAAGUAUUUAAAGGUCAAAAUUUGGGUUCGACAAAAAGUCAAUGGAAAAGUUCGUUUGUCGUGCUUCUUUCGUCGGAAGGCUCUCUUUGGGAUUUCCGAAAAGGUAGCACAUGCCUAGUUUGGCCUCACGGUAUAAAAGUUAUAGAGUUAUAAAGUUUUAACCAAAAAAAACAAAUUAAAAAAAAGAGGGAUGCAACACGAGGACUUCCCGGGAGGUCACCCAUCCUAGUACUACUCUCGCCCAAGCACGCUUAACGAAAGGUCAAAAUUUGGAGUCGACAAAAACUCAAUACAUAUGUUCCAUUGUCCUGCUUCUUUCAUCGGAGGGCUUUCUUUGGGCUUUCCGAAAAGGUAUCACAUGCCUAGUUUGGCCUCUCGGUAUAAAAGUUAUAGAGUCAUAAAGUUUUAACCAAAGAAAAAAAUUAAAAAAAAAGAGAGAUACAACACGAGGACUUCCCGGGAGGUCACCCAUCCUAGUACUACUCUCGCCCAAGCAUGCUUAACUGCGGAUUUCUGAUGGGAUCCGGUGUAUUAGUGCUGGUAUGAUCGCAUCCGUUAGUAUAUGCAAUGCAAUCGUAUAUAUUCUUUUUUGAAGACUUGAUGAACCAUUCGCCGUGGGUCGCACCCGCUAUGUAGGGAUACCCCAUCUAGUCUUAACGAGCUUUGAUGCAUGAUAAAAUUCUAAUACAAUGAUUGAACAAGUAAUUUUGGGUCCGUAAUAUAGCCCAAAUCACAAAUAUGACCGAAAAAGUACUUAAAGGUCAAAAUUUGGGAUCGACAAAAAGUCAAUGAAAUUGUUCCAUUGUCCUGCUUCUUUCGUCGGAGGGCUCUCUUUACGCUUUCCGAAAAGGUAUCACAUGCCAAGUUUGGCCUCACGGUAUAUAAGUUAUAGAGUCAUAAAGUUUUAACCAAAAAAAACAAAUUAAAAAAAAAGAAGGAUGCAACACGAGGACUUCCCGGGAGGUCACCCAUCCUAGUACUACUCUCGCCCAAGCACGCUUAACUAAAGGUCAAAAUUUGGAGUCGACAAAAAAUCAAUGGAUAAGUUCCAUUGUCCUGCUUCUUUCAUCGGAAGGCUCUCUUUGGGCUUUCCGAAAAGGUAUCACAUGCCAAGUUUGGCUUGACGGUAUAAAAGUUAUAUAGUCAUAAAGUUUUAACAAAAAAAAAACAAAUUAAAAAAAAAGAGGGAUGCAACACGAGGACUUCUCGGGAGGUCACCCAUCCUAGUACUACUCUCGCCCAAGCACGCUUAACUAAAGGUCAAAAUUUGGAGUCGACAAAAACUCAAUACAUAUGUUCCAUUGUCCUGCUUCUUUCAUCUGAGGGCUCUCUUUGGCUUUCCGAAAAGGUAUCACAUGCCAAGUUUGGCCUCACUAUAUAAAAGUUAUAGAGUCAUAAAGUUUUAACCAAUGAAACAAAUUAAAAAAAACAGAGAGAUGCAACACGAGGACUUCCCGGGAGGUCACCCAUCCUAGUACUACUCUCGCCCAAGCACGCUUAACUGCGGAGUUCUGAUGGGAUCCAGUGUAUUAGUGUUAGUAUGAUCGCAUCCGUUAGUAUAUGGAAUGCAAUCGUAUAUAUUCUUUUUUGAAGACCUGAUAAACCAUUCGCCGUGGGUCGCACCCGCUAUGUAGGGAUACCCCAUCUAGUCUUAACGAGCUUUGAAGCAUGCAAAAAUUCUAAAACAAUGCUUCAACAAGUAAUUUUGGGUCCGUAAUAUAGCCCAAAUCACAAAUAUGCCCGAAAAAGUACUUAAAGGUCAAAAUUUGGGAUCGACAAAAAGUCAAUGAAAUUGUUCCGUUGUCUUGCUUCUUUUGUCGGAAGGCUCUCUUUACGCUUUCCGAAAAGGUAUCACAUGCCAAGUUUGACCUCACGGUAUAAAAGUUAUAGAGUCAUAAAGUUUUAACCAAAAAAAACAAAUUAAAAAAAAAAGAAGGAUGCAACACGAGGACUUCCCGGGAGGUCACCCAUCCUAAUACUACUCUCGCCCAAGCACGCUUAACUAAAGGUCAAAAUUUGGAGUCGACAAAAAAUCAAUGGAUAAGUUCCAUUGUCCUGCUUCUUUCAUCGGAGGGCUCUCUUUGGGCUUUCCGAAAAGGUAUCAGAUGCCAAGUUUGGCCUGACGGUAUAAAAGUUAUAGAGUCAUAAAUUUUUAACAAAAAAAAAACAAAUUAAUAAAAAAGAGGGAUGCAACACGAGGACUUCCCGGGAGGUCACCCAUCCUAGUACUACUCUAGCCCAAGCACGCUUAACUAAAGGUCAAAAUUUGGAGUCGACAAAAACUCAAUACAUAUGUUCCAUUGUCCUGCUUCUUUCAUCCGAGGGCUCUCUUUGGGCUUUCCGAAAAAGGUAUCACAUGCCAAGUUUGGCCUCACUGUAUAAAAGUUAUAGAGUCAUAAAGUUUUAACCAAAGAAAAAAAUUAAAAAAAAAAGAGGGAUGCAAGACAAGGACUUCCCGGGAGGUCACCCAUCUUAGUACUACUCUCGCCCAAGCACGCUUAACUACGGUGUUCUGAUGGGAUCCGGUGUAUUAGUGCUGGUAUGAUCACAUCCGUUAGUAUAUGCAAUGCAAUCGUAUAUAUUCUUUUUGGAAGAAUUGAUGAACCAUUCGCCAUGGGCCCCAUCCGCUAUGUAGGGAUACCCCAUCUAGUCUUAACGAGCUUUGAUGCAUGAAAAAAUUCUAAAACAAUGCUUGAACAAGUAAUUUUUGGUCCGUAAUAUAGCCCAAAUCACAAAAAUACGCGAAAAGUACUUAAAGGUCAAAAUUUAGGGUCGACAAAAAGUCAAUGGAAAAGUUUGUUUGUCCUGCUUCUUUCGUCGGAGGGCUCUCUUUGGGCUUUCCGAAAAGGUAUCACAUGCCAAGUUUGGCCUCACGGUAUAAAAGUUAUAGAAUCAUAAAGUUUUAACCAAAAAAAACAAAUUAAAAAAAAACAGGGAUGCAACACGAGGAGUUCCCAGGAGGUCACCCAUCCUAGUACUACUCUCGCCCAAGCAUGCUUAACAAAAGGUUAAAAUUUAGAGUCGACAAAAAAUCAAUGGAUAUGUUCCAUUGUCCUGCUUCUUUCAUCGGAGGGCUCUCUUUGGGCUUUCCGAAAAUGUAUCACAUGCCAAGUUUGGCCUCACUGUAUAAAAGUUAUAGAGUCAUAAAGUUUUAACCAAAGAAAAAAAUUAAAAAAAAGAGGGAUGAGACACGAGGACUUCCCGGGAGGUCAUCCAUCUUAGUACUACUCUCGCCCAAGCACGCUUAACUGCGGAGUUCUGAUGGGAUCCGGUGUAUUAGUGCUGGUAUGAUCACAUCCGUUAGUAUAUGCAAUACAAUCGUAUAUAUUGUUUUUUGAAGACUUGAUGAACCAUUUGCCAUAGGUCUCAUCCGCUAUGUAGGGAUACCUCAUCUACUCUUAACGAGCUUUGAUGCAUGAAAAAAUUCUAAAACAAUGCUUGAACAAGUAAUUUUGGGUUCGUAAUAUAACCCAAAUCACAAAAAUACCCGAAAAAGUACUUAAAGGUCAAAAUUUGGGGUCGACAAAAAGUCAAUGGAAAAGUUCCUUUGUCCUGCUUCUUUCGUCGGAGGGCUCUUUUUGGGCUUUCCGAAAAGUUAUUACAUGCCAAGUUUGGCCUCACGGUAUAAAAGUUAUAGAGUCAUAAAGUUUUAACCAAAGAAAAAAAUUAAAAAAAAGAGGGAUGCAACACGAGGACUUCCCGGGAGGUCACCCAUCCUAGUACUACUCUUGCCCAAGCACGCUUAACUGCGGAGUUCUGAUGUGAUCCAGU